AUGGUUGGCCUGGAGGGUUCUGCAUUAGAUGAAGAAAGGAUGGACCGCCACGGGUUGAGUGAUACUGGAGGGCUUUCUUGUGUGGGUGGCGUAUCGUUGCUCGCACCGGGAACUGCCUUCUCUACUGAUUUUAGUAUUCUUCAGGAGCUCCGCACAGAGAAGUUAUUUCGAGAAUAUUUGGAGUACCGUGAGGAUUCAUUCAAUUGGGCGGCAGAAGAACUGGUUGCAUCAUGCAAUUCACCUGUUGAUUUGUUUCUCCAGACUGUGCCUGAUGAGAGGCUUUUUCAAGAGCACUUUUUCAAUUUUGUGUCGUUACGUGAACAGUAUUCUGUGGUUGUUGAUGAUGCUGAUGGAAGUAAAGAAAGUUUGGCUGAUGAUGGAUCACCACGUUUCUCGACUGAGGCUGAGAUCAAACUUAUCCGCCGUAAGAAUCACAAAGAUUCUCUUAUGAAAAGAUUGCAUGGUGUUCGAAGAUAUUAUGCAUACUGCAAAGCCCUUCUGCAACUUGAUUUUAUCAAGUGGAAUAGUAAUCCUGAAGAAGUUUUAAAACGGAUCAAAGAGUCAACUAGAUGGUCUGAUGUGCUGAAUGAUUAUGAGCUACAACGUGGUCUAGAGGGUCAUAUGAAAUUUUUAAGGAUGCAUGUGAGUAAAUUGGACAAAACUUCCACAAGCAGCAGCAUGACUGAGUUUGAUAAGGUAGCUUUGGAGGAGGACAUCAACUCUCGUAUGAGUUCAGAAUUAGAGAAGCAUCUACAAUUCCCUGACGAGUUGCUCAUGCGAGAAUAUUUCAAUCGUGUGAAAAUAAGGAACCUUGCCAGGGAGUGUUGUAUUCAAGCAAAGAAGACUGGAGUCAUUCUUGUCGAAGAGUUUCUACCCGUACGAAAUUUGGAAGAACAGAUGUUACCCAAAAGUUGGCCCCAGAAUUUUGGACAACAGCUGUUACCCAGAAAUUUGCCCCAGAUGAAAAAGAGAGUUAAGCAGUCACUUGACUCAACCAGGGCUUACCUGCAUCCACAGGGCGCUACUCGUGCUAGGGCUUUGAAGUAUGUGGUUGGUGCAGUUUCUCUUGCUUGUAUCAUCAUGGCUGGCCAACGCGAGAGUAAGUAA
rnacentral:rRNA from 1 species